rnacentral:rRNA from 1 species
UGUCUACAGCCAUACCACCCUAAACACGCCUGAUCUCAUCUGAUCUCAGAAGCUAAGCAGGGUCGGGCCUGGUUAGUACUUGGAUGAGAAAGACGGUUUAUCCUACUAGAUAUUAAGAAUUAUGAUAA